CGAGAGAGUCCACAGGCAUGAUUUGACAGGAUAAUGCCCUCACUUGAUAAAAGGAGAGACUCUCUGUCAGCUGCCCGCAUCCUCCCUGAAGCUCUGGAAUCUGACUUCAUGGAGCAUUUGAGCAGCUAAGCUUUUCCUGACCCCCUCCCUCCCACCACCACUCCCGCCUUCCCCCAGUUGCUGAGCAUAAUUGAGAAUUAAUUGCAUGUCUGCUUAUUAUUUUGCUUACUUAAUUUGGUCUAAACGUUGUUCACACUCCAGACUUAAGGCCUGGAAGUGGCUGUCUUCAGGACCUGAUCUCUCCAAGACAGGCGCUCCAGUGGAUCUGAGUUAGAUCGGUGUAUAGAUCAGAGUUCCUAAGAAGCAAUGGACAAAGACCCAGAGUCUGUGCUGGGGGCCUUGGAAGGCUCUAAACCCUGAGCAGCAGUUUACAGAAGAGGCGAACAAUAUGGAUAUGGAGACAAUCUCUUAGGAGACUUGGGAGUGCUCUCCUGUAGGAUCCAAGACUUCUCAUCUUUCCGAUGCGAACUGAAUUAUGCUAGCAUGUCAACCAGGACAUUUCAGAGAAGCAUCGAACAGAAACGUGUUAGUAAACCUCUUACCAGAACACCCUCACUAUCGAUUUUUUUUUGUCACUAAAACACAAACCAGCAUGGGACAUUAAACAGGACCUUUGGUAUUUGGUGUUGGGAAAAUGCCCCCUUGGAUCUAGAGCUCUUUAGGAGUAAUGGCUUCCCGAAAAGAACUAUAGAGAAAAAGAAGGCAGAAUAACCCAGGUGCCUGAGCAUCUUUGAGGAGGUAAGGAAAACUCUUUACUCUUUGCUGUUUGUGAGCUCUGAAUCACCAAUUGUUUGCUAGUCAGGCUUCCCCAUUUGCCAGGAAGGAUCAAUAAUGUAAUUGGAAUGACCCUGCACUCAACUGUCCCUGCCUUCUGAUGCCCGCCUCCCCUCUCUGAUCAGAAGGCCUCCUCACUGGGGACACUGAAAGCUGAAUAGUUCAGGGACAGAGCGAGGCAUUACUGCAUUCCUGUCCAGUGAAAGGCAGACUCUCUGGAGAGCCUUUCCUCUGUUUUGUUUUGUGUGUUUUCAAGGAGUCUGGAGAGGGUGUUUAUGUCGUGGUGCACGUUCCCCAUUUGGCAUCUCGAUGGCGAAGCAGAGAGCUUUCUUGUUGUCCAUGUCCUCUGUGAUUUGAACUUGUGAUGAUUCUUCAGCUAGCUCUGUCCUUCAUCUAGAAAAUUAGUGUUGCAUUAUGAAGCCCAAAAGAGUUUUCCUAGCCACCACAUAGCAGUACGUAUAAUAACUUAAAUGUUCUACAGAAAAGGCAUUCCCCCAGCGUGGGUGAGUGGAAGAAUAGGCUCAUCAAGUUGUUCAGGCUUUGCAGAUUAGAGUUCCAGUUUCGUGAAAUCUCCCAUGGUUCAUACCUGGAAUCAGCUCCAAAACAUUUUCGAAAUUGGAACACUGAGCAUUCUCUAUGGGCUUGCAGUCAUUUCAAAAUAAUAUCCCUUAAUUAUGUGUCAUGGAUUGUUUGAUGAGUAUCUGCUGGGUUUGGCAUAUGUCAUUAGCCAUGAACAAUUGUACCUGGCUGUUUUUAAUUAUACCAGCUUUAUGCUUACAGUAGCCAUGGGAGGAAAACAAAAGAUUUUGCUGAGCGGGAGCAUUUUGCUUUUUAAAAAAUAUUUAUUUUGUUUUUGAUGCUCCUGCAGCCAAUCCACUCUUGCUAGGCAGUCCACUCUUCAGUUCAGUAUGGCCUUGAACUCAUGUCCCCCUGCCUUAGACUUUAGGGUGCUUGGGUCACACAUAUCUCCCUUUAAAGUUUUAUCUAUCUAUCUAUCUAUCUAUCUAUCUAUCUAUCUAUCUAUCUAUCUAUCUAUCUAUCUAUCUAUCUAUCUAUCUAUCAUACCUAUCUAUCUAUCUAUCUAUCUAUCUAUCUAUCUAUCUAUCCAACAUCUAUCUAUAUCUUAUCUAUCCCUAUCUACCUAUCUAUUUAUCUACCUAUUAUCUAUCAUCUAUCUACCUAUGCCCCCUCCUCCCCCUGAAAGAUUUUUUUCUUCUACAGCAGGCUAUGCUGCUCAGUCUAAUCCCCUACUUCUGCAUUUCCCCAUCCCUGGCUGCUGUUACUUUCUCCAUGAAAAAUUGUGAAAGGUCUAAGCCAAUUAAGAUCAUUUGAUUUCCUCGUCAGCAAUUGGUUCAAAGAUGUCCAUGUGACACAGUUCUACCCAAUGAGAUGUGAAAGAAGCUUGUCUGGCAUGUUUCUGGGAAUGGCUUCUUGGCUGAUGGAACUAGGUCCUUAGAAAAAUGAUCUCAGCCAGGCAGGCUGUGGUGGCACACUCCUCUAAUCUCACUGGGAGUGAGGGAGGUGGGAGAGGGGCAAGGGGCGAGGGGCAAGGGGCGAGGUGCAAGGGGCGAGGGGAGGAGAGGAUAGAGGGGAGAGGGGACAGGGGAGAGGGAGAGGGAGAGGGAGAGGGAGAGACUCUGCAUUUCCCACCCAAUAUCAAUCAGUACUGUCGAGGUCUAUGACAGUACUAACUGAGAGACUUAGCUUCUGAGAGGAACUAGUUGGUGACUACAGAGGGUACAGCUGAAAGAAGGACUCAACCGGGGUCUUUGGUCCUCCUUAG
rnacentral:lncRNA from 1 species